rnacentral:lncRNA from 1 species
AUUUUGUUUCAUUGAUGUGAAGUAUCUAAUUAUUAUAUAUGUGCGAGAAUGUAGAAUUAUGUGAGAGGUGUAAGUCCACAUAGAGUCUGUGAUAAAUAAUACUCCAUAGACAUGAGAUAAUUUAAAUGAGACUUAACGCGGUUUUGAAUUAAUAAAUCCACCUAAGAGGACAAAUUAGGUAUCCUUGAGCCUGAAGGUGAUGGUUUCAAUUGGUAUAAGGUGGAAUUGGCCAACCAUGAAUUUUACUUUUGGAAAUAAGGGAAGAUUCCUUACUUGGUUUGCACCGGUUCAAGAGUCAAUCUGUUUCAGAAGAGAGCCUGAAGGAUGCACCAGUUCCUGCGAUUGUUUAUGAAAACUCUGUCCACUGUGAUUUAUUUAUUGUGGAGGUUGAAUAAGAGGCACUCCUCAGAAUUUUUUCUUCAUCAGAAGCCUUGAUAAGAAAAAACCAAUUCCUGAGAUUGUUCCAAUGGCAGCUUUGUGAUGCCCUUUACCAGAAGCUUUA